GCAGUAAGGAAUAUUGGUCAAUGGGCGCAAGCCUGAACCAGCCAUGCCGCGUGCAGGAAGACGGCCCUACGGGUUGUAAACUGCUUUUGUACCGGAAUAAACCUUGAUACGUGUAUCGAGCUGAAUGUACGGUAAGAAUAAGGAUCGGCUAACUCCGUGCCAGCAGCCGCGGUAAUACGGAGGAUCCAAGCGUUAUCCGGAUUUAUUGGGUUUAAAGGGUGCGUAGGUGGCCUGGUAAGUCAGGGGUGAAAGACGGUAGCUUAACUAUCGCAGUGCCUUUGAUACUGCCGGGCUUGAAUACAGUUGAAGUGGGCGGAAUGUGACAAGUAGCGGUGAAAUGCAUAGAUAUGUCACAGAACACCGAUUGCGAAGGCAGCUCACUAAAGUGUGAUUGACACUGAGGCACGAAAGCGUGGGGAUCAAACAGGAUUAGA
rnacentral:rRNA from 1 species